AGCAGUCGCCACGGUAAUACGUAGGUGGCAAGCGUUGUCCGGAAUUAUUGGGCGUAAAGCGCGCGCAGGCGGUUUCUUAAGUCUGAUGUGAAAGCCCCCGGCUUAACCGGGGAGGGUCAUUGGAAACUGGGAGACUUGGAGUGCAGAAGAGGAGAGUGGAAUUCCAUGUGUAGCGGUGAAAUGCGUAGAUAUAUGGAGGAACACCGGUGGCGAAAGCGGCUCUCUGGCUUGUAACUGACGCUGAGGCUCGAAAGCGCGGGGAGCAAACAGGAUUAGAUACCCCCGUAGUCCCUGUCUCUUAUU
rnacentral:rRNA from 1 species